rnacentral:rRNA from 1 species
CCCUUAGAUGUUCUGGGCCGCACGCGCGCUACAAUGAUGCAGGCAACGAGUGCCGCUCCUUAGCCGAAAGGCUUGGGGAAUCUUGAAAACUGCAUCGUGCUAGGGAUAGAUGAUUGCAAUCGUGCAUCUUGAACGAGGAAUGCCUUGUAAGCGUGAGUCAUCAACUCGCGCUGAAUACGUCCCUGCCCUUUGUACACACCGCCCGUCGCUCCUACCGAUUGGAUGGUCCGGUGAACUGGUCGGACUGCUGUUUGAAAUUGCGGGUGCAGUUGAUUCACGGGAAGUCUAGUAAACCUUAUCAUCUAGAGGAAGGAGAANUCGUANCA